ACCCCCAUCUUCCUCUCGAACCCAACUCCACAACCCUAACCCGUGCCCGCCGCCGCCGCCCUCGUGCUCGAUCCACAGUCCUGCCGCCGGCCUCGCGCUCCACCCCGUCGUCAAGCCGUCGUCUUGGAGCUCGCACUACCCCGCCCCCUAGCUCCACCCCGUCAUCCACCAGUCCUUGCAGUCUGCCCCUCCCCCCCGAGCUCCAUAUCCUGAGAUCGAGCCGCCGCCCUCUCGAUGCACAUCGAACCGCCAUCCUCGCGCCGCCCCCUCGACAUCCCGCUGUCGUCCUUGCCAAUCCCCGUUCCUGCUGCUGCCGGGGCUCCAUCUCCGGGCUCCCGCUGCUGUCCCACCUGCUGUUGCCGGGGCUCCAUCUCCAGGUUCUCGCUGCUGCUGGAUCUGCUGCUACCGGGGCUCCAUCUGCGGGCUCGCGCUGCUGCUGGACCUGCUGCUACCGGGGAUCCAUCCCCUUCGAGCUACGCCCCUCCCGAAGCCAGCUGGCACCGUGCCUGAGGCAAGGAAAAGAGAUGGUGCAGAAGGAGCUUCAGCAGGCAUGAUGGUUCGACAACCACAACCUCGCAAGGCCAUCCACAUGGCCCAGCAACACUAUUUCAGUCUUGCCGACAAUAGCCAGGAACCAUGACCACCAGCAUGCAGCAUGGCCAAUGGGCGGAGAACGGAUGGCUACCUCACUGGGAACCAUGGUUGCACACAUGCAGCAGAAACCAGAUGGUGGAUGGAAAGGUUACCUCAUGGGGUGCACAUGGACGUGAUGACUUUGAAGUGUUUAUGGACCAACCAACCUGUAAUCAUGGAUCUUAUGUGUCUUCUAGACCAUUUGGUGUUUCAGAUAUUUUGGAGCUUGCACUUUGUGCAAGUGGAUACAGACUUGUGUGUUCUGGACCAUCUAACUGAAGUCUCUCACACAAGCAAAUAGUGCUCAUCUUUCUGUGACUUGUGUGUUCUGGGUGAUUGUUAAGAUGGUUGAAACUAUGCUUUGCCAA